UCUCGGCCUCCCAAAGUGCUGGGAUUACAGGCGUGAGCCACCGCGCCCGGCCUAUUUUGUUUAUUUUUAUAUGGAGUCUCGCUCUGUUGCCCAGGCUGGAGUGCAGUGGUGCAAUCUCGGCUCACUGCAACCUCUGCCUCCUGGGUUCAAGCGAUUCUCCUGCCUCAGCCUCCUUAGUAGCUGGGAUUACAGGCAUGCACCAGCAUGUCCAGCUAAUUUUUUGUAUUUUUAGUAGAGACGGGGGUUUCACCAUGUUGGUCAGGCUGGUCUCGAACUCCUGACCUCGUGAUCCACCCACCUUGGCCUCCCAAAGUGCUGGGAUUACAGGCGUGAGCCACCACACCCGGCCUAUUUUUUAUUUAUUUUUUAUUUUUUAUUUUUGAGACAGGGUCUGGCUCUGUCACCCCAGGCGUGACAGUGGCUUUUGGUCUCAAGCAAUCCUCCCACCUCAGCCUCCUGGUAGCUGGGACUAUAGGUGCCUGCCACCGCACCCAGCUAAUUUUUUAUUUUAUUUUUAGUAGAGACAAGGUUUCACCAUGUUGGCCAGACUGGUCUCAAACUCCUGGGCUCAAGCGAUCCUCCUGCCUCAGCUUCCCAAAGUGCUAGGGUUACAGGCUUGUGCCACCUCACCCAGCCUCAAAUGUCAGCUAUUAACGAAUCCUUCCAGCUUCAAUAAGUCUAGGAUUUGGCCAGCAUUUUUAUGCCUAAAGCAGAAUCAUGAGGCAGGCCCAGUCCUGAGGGGCAGCCUUAUUGCCAAAGCUGACCUGCACGCCUGCUGAGCCCCCUGAGAAUGCUGCCCUCACAUCAGGUGGUCACUCUUCCACCUGGCAAGAUGGAGAGAGCUAAGCCCAGGGUCCAAGCUUGGCCACACCAAUAGGACUCAAAACUGAAGGGUUUUUGUCAGAACUCCUGCUUCUACAGGGGAAGCCGGCAGGACCACUCUGAUGCCUUCUGGGUCCCCUGUUUUCUCCCUUCCUUUCCUAGAGGUGUGUCAGAUUUCAAGGCUCCAAACCAGGGACUCUAGGCAGGGCAAGUAACUCCACUCAGAUCUAGAGGUGACCUGAUUUCUCUCACCAGACAGGUCUGGUGACUCUCUCUUAAUGGGCUACAUCCUGGGAAAGGAACUUCUUUCUUUUCUCUCAGCCUCUGACUUUUGUCUGUUAGCUCUGGACCACUCGUGGUUGUCCCAUAUGGGGAGAAGUGAGCUGCCCUAAGGUAGUGUGUCGGUGUAAGGAUUUUAAACCAGAUGCUGUGCAUUGGAAUAUCUCUAAAUCAGAUGCUUACCAGGGCUAAAUGUGAGCUGGCUUAGGCACCAGCUUCUUUUAUUUUCUUUUCUCUCUCUCUCUCUCUCUCUCUCUCUCUCUCUCUCUCUCUCUCUCUCUCUCUCUCUCUCCCUCCUUUCUUCUUUUCUUUUCUCUUUUUUUUUUUUUUUUUGAGACAGGGUCUCACUUUGUCACCCAGGCUGGAGUGCAGUGCCACGAUCUCGGCUCACUGCAGCCUUGACCUCCCAGGUUGAAGCUGACCUCCCAGGUUCAAGCUAUCCUCCCACCUCAGCCCCUCAAGUAGCUGAGACUACAGGUGUGCACCACCACACCCAGCUAAUUUUUGUAGAGACAGAAUUUCACUAUGUUGCCCAGGUGGGUCUUGAACGCCUCAGCUCAAGCAAUCCACCCACCUCAGCCUCCCAAACUGCUGGGAUUACAGGCGUGAGCCACCGCGUCCAGGCUCUUUUCAUUUUUUAAUGUUUAGUUUUUAUGGGUACAUAAUAGUUGUACAUAUUAGGCACCAGGUUCUGACCACAAGGAUCCCAAACCUUUUUGUCCAUGACUUUUUUUUUAAUCUCUUGGUGAACACUUCUUGCCAGCUUUUCCUGGCCUAGAAUUGAUAUUUGAACAAUUUCAAGGCCAGGCACAGUGGCUCAUGCCUGUAAUCUCAGCACUUUGGAGGGCGAGGCAGGCAGAUCCCUUGAGGCCUGAAGUUCAAGGCCAUCCUGGCAAAUAUGGCAAAACCCCGUCUCUACUAAAAAUACAAAAAUUAGCCAGGUGUGGCGGCAUGCGCCUGUAGUCCCAGCUACUCAGGAGGCUGAGGCGGGAGAAUCGUUUGAAAGUGGGAGGCAGAGGUUGCAGUGAGCCAAGAUUGCGCCACUGCCACUGCAGCCUGGGUGACAGAGCGAGACUCUCUC
rnacentral:lncRNA from 1 species